rnacentral:rRNA from 1 species
UAUCUGGCUCAGAUUGAACGCUGGCGGCAGGCCUAACACAUGCAAGUCGAACGGUAGCACAGAGAGCUUGCUCUCGGGUGACGAGUGGCGGACGGGUGAGUAAUGUCUGGGAAACUGCCUGAUGGAGGGGGAUAACUACUGGAAACGGUAGCUAAUACCGCAUAACGUCGCAAGACCAAAGAGGGGGACCUUCGGGCCUCUUGCCAUCAGAUGUGCCCAGAUGGGAUUAGCUAGUAGGUGGGGUAACGGCUCACCUAGGCGACGAUCCCUAGCUGGUCUGAGAGGAUGACCAGCCACACUGGAACUGAGACACGGUCCAGACUCCUACGGGAGGCAGCAGUGGGGAAUAUUGCACAAUGGGCGCAAGCCUGAUGCAGCCAUGCCGCGUGUAUGAAGAAGGCCUUCGGGUUGUAAAGUACUUUCAGCGAGGAGGAAGGCAUUAAGGUUAAUAACCUUGGUGAUUGACGUUACUCGCAGAAGAAGCACCGGCUAACUCCGUGCCAGCAGCCGCGGUAAUACGGAGGGUGCAAGCGUUAAUCGGAAUUACUGGGCGUAAAGCGCACGCAGGCGGUCUGUCAAGUCGGAUGUGAAAUCCCCGGGCUCAACCUGGGAACUGCAUUCGAAACUGGCAGGCUAGAGUCUUGUAGAGGGGGGUAGAAUUCCAGGUGUAGCGGUGAAAUGCGUAGAGAUCUGGAGGAAUACCGGUGGCGAAGGCGGCCCCCUGGACAAAGACUGACGCUCAGGUGCGAAAGCGUGGGGAGCAAACAGGAUUAGAUACCCUGGUAGUCCACGCCGUAAACGAUGUCGACUUGGAGGUUGUUCCCUUGAGGAGUGGCUUCCGGAGCUAACGCGUUAAGUCGACCGCCUGGGGAGUACGGCCGCAAGGUUAAAACUCAAAUGAAUUGACGGGGGCCCGCACAAGCGGUGGAGCAUGUGGUUUAAUUCGAUGCAACGCGAAGAACCUUACCUACUCUUGACAUCCAGAGAACUUAGCAGAGAUGCAUUGGUGCCUUCGGGAACUCUGAGACAGGUGCUGCAUGGCUGUCGUCAGCUCGUGUUGUGAAAUGUUGGGUUAAGUCCCGCAACGAGCGCAACCCUUAUCCUUUGUUGCCAGCGGUUCGGCCGGGAACUCAAAGGAGACUGCCAGUGAUAAACUGGAGGAANUGGGGAUGACGUCAGUCAUCAUGGCCCUUACGAGUAGGGCU